UAAGGAAUAUUGGUCAAUGGGCGGGAGCCUGAACCAGCCAUGCCGCGUGCAGGAAGACGGCCUUAUGGGUUGUAAACUGCUUUUAUCGGGGAAUAAACCUGCUUACGUGUAGGCAGCUGAAGGUACCCGAAGAAUAAGCAUCGGCUAACUCCGUGCCAGCAGCCGCGGUAAUACGGAGGAUGCAAGCGUUAUCCGGAUUCAUUGGGUUUAAAGGGUGCGCAGGCGGAAUGAUAAGUCAGUGGUGAAAUUCAACGGCUCAACUGUUGACCUGCCAUUGAUACUGUCAAUCUAGAGUAUAGUUGGAGUGGGCGGAAUGUGUCAUGUAGCGGUGAAAUGCUUAGAUAUGACACAGAACACCGAUCGCGAAGGCAGCUCACUAAGCUAAAACUGACGCUCAUGCACGAAAGCGUGGGGAGCGAACA
rnacentral:rRNA from 1 species